ensembl:misc_RNA 7SK 7SK RNA
AGAUGUGAGGGCCAUCUGGAUGCCACAUCUGCCACCCCAUUGAUCUCCAGGGUUGAUUCGGCUCAUCUGGCUGGCUAGGUGGGUGUACCCUUCCUCCCUCACCUCUCCAUAUGCAUCUCUCCCGAAGCUGUGCCCUGGGUUGAAGAGGACGACCUUCCCCGAAUAAAGGAGGACCUGUCUCCUGUCAAGGGUAUUCAGGUAGCUGUACUCCCCUGCUAGAACCUCCAAACAAGCUCUCAAGGAAACUCAAGUAUCACCAGGAAAGAAAGGCAUGGGUAUAAUAAUUCUGUCUCAAUUAGUGUAAGUGAUGUCAACAGAAAAU